GUCCCUGUGGCUCAAUUGGAUAGAGCGUCGGCCUCCGGAGCCGAAGGUUGCAGGUUCGAGUCCUGCCGGGGACG
rnacentral:tRNA from 1 species